UGGCUAUGAUGACAAAAAGGCCGGACUUACAGCUGCUUCCUGAUGGUUGGUAGUAGAUUGAUGAAAUAUCCCCUAAGGUACUUGCUGAGCCAG